UUUUUUUUUUUUUCCUUAACUGGCCUUCAAAGGGGAUCUUGCUGUUCGGUUUUGUGGGUGCAGCCUAACAGAGCUGCUCUUCCGUAUAUAACCUCUGUACUCGCCCUGGCUGGAGCAUCGUGCAGCCGGCGCAAGGCGUAAGCGUAAAACGCGUCCUCGCGUACGUUUUGCCAGGUUUCUCCUACGCAGAAAAGCAGAAAUGUCCUGAUGAAGGCGGGCCAGGGCAGGGGUCCUCGCCCCGCGCUAGAAACAAGGCUGACUUGGGAUAAACCGCUCACAAGGCUCUUGCUACCUGCUAGCCCACCUCAGCGGUCGUUUUGGUGGCGAGAACUAAUUUCUGGAGAAGGAGUCAUACAAUGCCAAAAAUGCCAUCCAGCCCAAAUUAAUGGAAAAGAAUAAAUUCCAGAUGCCGGUUCACUAACUAAAGAAUGUUCCUCAGGAGAUGCUGUGCUAAAGACUUCACUCAUUUGGGAAGACAAGUCCUGGAGAAACAGAUCACCAGAAGAACAUGAUAGGUUACACAGCUGUUUCAGAAAUGCUUCAUGCCAUGUCUCAACCAUAAACACCCAACAGUGUUUCGAUCAUAGCUGCGGUUGCGAGACAUCACUACAUUGCAGACUCAAGGGUCAUCGUGCAUUACUUCGUUCAUCUGAAUUUCUUUCCAGUGGAAAUUUACCUCUGAAUUUUCUGGAUUUAUAGUGUUGCUCUGAAAUCAUUUCAACAAGCUUGUGAUUUUUCAUCCUCAAACUAAAAUGCCUGCUCUCAACAUGACUGUAGAAUUUCAAGAGCUUUCUUUUAAUAUUUGCCCUCUUCCCACUAAAUUCUGUGCCACUAAAAGUCUAACUAUAAACAAAUAAAUCCAGGGCUGGGAACUGUAAUCCCCAUAUAUUAUCUAGUUAUUUGCUUUGAAAGGAUAAGAGGAUUCAGAGCAGAAGUCAUCCUGUGACUCACUGAAGAAAUGGUUCUGUUUGACCUUUUUAUGCUUCUACCUUCCCUUUCUUCUCAUCAGUUCCACCUAUCAUUCUUCUCAUUUCCCUGCAAUUAAAUAGAAACAUUAUUUGUUCAUGUUCGUGUCAGGUUGCACAGAAUUGUCUCAUGCUGUUACUGCUAUUUACAUUACCCAGAUGACAUAUUGAUGAAAAUACACUAGAGCAAACUUCUCUACCUACUCCAGAGUAAUUGUGUCAACAAUAAUCUACAGUCAACCAACAACAAACGUUAUUAUGUAGUGUGCUCAUUUAUGGAACUUAUUUUUAAGGAACACUAGUUUGUAAUUCCCUCAGUAGUGAAACAUCUGCAAAUUCUGGCCUUCACUUUCAUAGGUUGUGCCUCUGAGUGCUGUUCGUUUCAACUGUCGUUCUGGAUUCACUAUAUUCUGAAAAAUCAGAUUCACAUCCCCGUUUUACAUUCUUCUUUUGGAAUUGAUCUCCCAUUGUAUAGCCUGCGACUGAAAUUCACACCAGUUAUAUAUCAGAGGUACCCAAUACUUUCUUUUAGUGGCUUCUAUAAAGUUAUCUAAAUGCAUUAAUACCAGCAGGUUUAUUAAUUCAAGUUUUCUGAUACUCUUUUUUUCCUACUUUUUUCCAUCUCUGUUACACAAGAGGGAUUCCCAAGGAAACAAUAUUAUUUCACCCUGAUUUUAUGUGUUGUUACAGCAUGUAUGUCUCUCACCAUCCUUAUUCGCAUUUCUUUCCUCACAGCAACUACAAGAGUAAACAAAUUGGUAGAUUUGUCAUUAAAUUAUGCUAAGUCUAAUUCUUUCCUGAAAAGGUGGGGCUAACAGCUGCUUUAUAAUCUUUGGUACAAGGGAGAAUUUCUCUGUAACUAGUUAUUUCCUUUAUUUUUGUCCUAAGUUGAAAAAUUCAUUUGGAAAAUACCUUUAUAAGGCUGAUAUGAAAAGAACAUUGAAGUAUUCUGCUAUGGAUUCUGCUAUUCUAUUCUAUAAAGGAAUAGAGAAAAUUGGACACAUAUUCUUGAUUGAAUGCCUCCAGCGUUCAGACUCUCAGUGGAUCAAAUCAGAUGUAUGCCCAGCAAGAAAUGCACCUUAUAAGACUCUUCCUGGAUGCAUUUUGCAAGGAACUCCUCAAAUUCCUCUCAAGGAAGCAUAAAUCUUUGUUUUGCAACAAUCUGUGAUUCCUGGUUCCUAUUUUAAGUACUACAAAACCAUCAUUGACUGGUUUACUGAUGCAGUCUUGGAUCUUUCCCAGCCUUCCCCCGUCUAAAUUGAGGAAGCUAGUAAUAUUGUAUAACAUCACCUACAUUUUCCAUCUGGUUUCUUUCAGGGGGGAUUUUGCUUACUGUGUAGAAUUUUUUUCUGCUCCUCAGUUUGAUACUUCCCCAUAAGGGAUUUGAAGAAUGCUAGAUAUUUUUGGAUAAAAGUUAGUUUUCUGUAUUUGUUACCUCUCACCUCUCAUAAAAGAGGGUUAUCCAUAGUCUGUACAGUACUUCCCUACCUGUAUGUCAAAUACACUUGGUGAAAUACCCCUUCCCAAUUUCUCUGAUGUAAAUGAUCUGUCUACAGUAGAGGAAAAAAUGUUAAUCUUUUAGCUAGUGCCCCCUAACUAGGGUUAGACAGGCGGCCAUUUGUUUUCUGAGUGGAAUACUUAAUAAACAUAAUAUCUAGGGUUUGGGAGUUUUUGUCCAGAACAGUUAUACACACACAUACACAUUCAUAAAAUCAUAAUAUGAUCAAUUCUAAUAACUUUAUCAUGUCUCACCGCUGUAACU